UACGUAGGAGGCGAGCGUUGUCCGGAUUUACUGGGCGUAAAGCGCGCGCAGGCGGCACUUCAAGUAAGGUGUGAAAUCUCCCUGCUCAACGGGGAGGGUGCACUUUAGACUGAGGAGCUAGAGGACGGUAGAGGGGGGUGGAAUUGCUGGUGUAGCGGUGAAAUGCGUAGAUAUCUGGAGGAACACCUGUGGCGAAGGCGGCUAUCUGGUCCAAUUCUGACGCUGAGGCGCGAAAGGUAGGGGAGCAAACAGG
rnacentral:rRNA from 1 species